UACGAAGGGUGCAAGCGUUAAUCGGAAUUACUGGGCGUAAAGCGUGCGCAGGCGGUUUUGUAAGUCUGAUGUGAAAUCCCCGGGCUCAACCUGGGAAUUGCAUUGGAGACUGCAAGGCUAGAAUCUGGCAGAGGGGGGUAGAAUUCCACGUGUAGCAGUGAAAUGCGUAGAGAUGUGGAGGAACACCGAUGGCGAAGGCAGCCCCCUGGGUCAAGAUUGACGCUCAUGCACGAAAGCGUGGGGAGCAAACAGG
rnacentral:rRNA from 1 species